rfam:Mesitornis unicolor contig113478, whole genome shotgun sequence.
UCAAAGGCUCUUCUAAGAGCCACCACGAGAUCACCGGAGAGAGCUGU